ACGUCCGUGGGAAGAUACUUGUUGAAAAAGCCGCAAAACAUUCACUUUAUCACAAAAACUAAUUUUUUGAUUUUUUCUUCCUUCUCCACUCCAGUUGCAAUUCUUUAAAAACACCGGGCAAAACAAAAUUUACAACGCCUCAUGAAUCCGUUGUUUAUAGAAGAUCCUGAAUCUGCGUUUGCAGCCGGUGCGCUUGAGGUCGGAGAUGAUGGGACGACGAUAUUAUCUAUAAAAUAAUCCAGUUGGCAUUUUACUGUUCCAAUUGCAUUUGUCAGCUUCCAAAUUUUUUUUGUCGUGCUCCUGCAUUCCUAAUUGUAUUUCAUUCAUCAUUCCUAACACCUUGUCAAUUUUUCCAUUGAGUGAAGCCAGUAUUAUCUCUGGAUUUUCGCUAACCUGGUUUUCCAUCGCUGAUAUGGCUAUGGUUUAAAAAUUAGUUGUUUUAAAAUUCAUUCGGCCACAAAGUCAUUCUAUCAUUUUAUUUACCUUUUUUUCACUCUUUUCUAGCUCCAAGCUCCAAGGCGUGCGAGAAUAAUUUUUUGCUCCAAUCAGUCCAAAAAACGAAGACCAAAUAAAAUUUUCCAUCGUCUUGAAACCCAUA